UUCUUCGGAGAGUUUGAUCCUGGCUCAGGAUGAACGCUGGCGGCGUGCCUAAUACAUGCAAGUCGAGCGAACUGAUUAGAAGCUUGCUUCUAUGACGUUAGCGGCGGACGGGUGAGUAACACGUGGGCAACCUGCCUGUAAGACUGGGAUAACUUCGGGAAACCGAAGCUAAUACCGGAUAGGAU
rnacentral:rRNA from 2 species